GACGAACGCUGGCGGCGUGCCUAAUACAUGCAAGUUGAGCGCUGAAGGUUGGUACUUGUACCAACUGGAUGAGCAGCGAACGGGUGAGUAACGCGUGGGGAAUCUGCCUUUGAGCGGGGGACAACAUUUGGAAACGAAUGCUAAUACCGCAUAAAAACUUUAAACACAAGUUUUAAGUUUGAAAGAUGCAAUUGCAUCACUCAAAGAUGAUCCCGCGUUGUAUUAGGUAGUUGGUGAGGUAAAGGCUCACCAAGGCGAUGAUACAUAGCCGACCUGAGAGGGUGGUCGGCCAAAUUGGGACUGAGACACGGCCCAAACUGCUACGGGAGGCAGCAGUAGGGAAUCUUCGGCAAUGGACGAAAGUCUGACCGAGAAACGCCGCGUGAGUGAAGAAGGUUUUCGGAUCGUAAAACUCUGUUGGUAGAGAAGAACGUUGGUGAGAGUGGAAAGCUCAUCAAGUGACGGUAACUACACAGAAAGGGACGGCUAACUACGUG
rnacentral:rRNA from 1 species